rnacentral:rRNA from 1 species
UACGGGGGGAGCAAGCGUUGUUCGGAUUUACUGGGCGUAAAGGGCGCGUAGGCGGCCCUCUUUGUCGCGUGUGAAAGCCCCGGGCUCAACCUGGGAACGGCGCGCGAAACGGGGGGGCUGGAGUUCGGGAGAGGAGCGUGGGAUUCCCAGUGUAGAGGUGAAAUUCGUAGAUAUUGGGAAGAACACCGGUGGCGAAGGCGGCGCUCUGGACCGAGACUGACGCUGAGGCGCGAAAGCGUGGGGAGCAAACAGG